GAUGAAGAACGCAGCGAAAUGGGAUAAGUAAUGUGAAUUGCAGAAUUCAGUGAAUCAUCGAAUCUUUGAACGCACAUUGCGCCCGUCAGUAUUCUGGCGGGCAUGCCUGUUCGAGCGUCAUUACGCCCCUCAAGUCCCCUGUGGACUUGGUGUUGGGGAUCGGCGAGGCUGGUUUUCCAGCACAGCCGUCCCUUAAAUUAAUUGGCGGUCUCGCCGUGGCCCUCCUCUGCGCAGUAGUAAAACACUCGCAACAGGAGCCCGGCGCGGUCCACUGCCGUAAAACCCCCCAACUUUUUAUAGUUGACCUCGAAUCAGGAAGGACUACCCGCUGAACUUAAGCAUAUCAAUAAGCGGAGGA
rnacentral:misc_RNA from 1 species